GAUGAACGCUGGCGGCGUGCCUAAUACAUGCAAGUCGAGCGAACGGACGAGAAACUUGCUUCUCUGAUGUUAGCGGCGGACGGGUGAGUAACACGUGGAUAACCUACCUAUAAGACUGGGAUAACUUCGGGAAACCGGAGCUAAGACCGGAUAAUAUUUUGAACCGCAUGGUUAAAAAGUGAAAGACGGUCUUGCUGUCACUUAUAGAUGGAGCGGCGCUGCAUUAGCUAGUUGGUAAGGUAACGGCUCACCAAGGCAACGAUGCAUAGCCGACCUGAGAGGGUGAUCGGCCACACUGGAACUGAGCCACGGUCCAGACUCAUACGGGAGGCAGCAGUAGGGAAUCUUCCGCAAUGGGCGAAAGCCUGACGGAGCACCGCCGCGUGAGUUAUGAAGGUCUUCGGAUCGUAAAACUCUGUUAUUAGGGAAGAACAUAUGUGUAAGUAACUGUGCACAUCUUGACGGUACCUAAUCAGAAAGCCACGGCUAACUACGUG
rnacentral:rRNA from 1 species